AGAUAAUGAAAAUAAAGAGAUUAUGAAUGAACUUUUUUCGGAAGGUGAAUAUGUCAAUGACUCAACUCUUUACAAAAGUAAAUUGUUUAAUAAUGAGUGUUUUUUUAGUUGGGACUAGUGCAGAGAUGACAGAGAAAAUGUUUGAGGGAGAGAGAUGAAGGAGGUAAAUAAGGGUUUGGGGUUUCUUUUUUUAGUUUUGAGAAUGAAAAUUUCAAUUGGGGCUAGAGUAGGGAUGACAAGAAAAAGUUGGAGUGAAAGAGAUUAAAGAGAAAGAGUUGAGAGGAAUGAGAGAGGUGGGUAAGGGUUUUGGGGGUUUCUUUUUUUAUUUUUUUAAUUUUGAGAAUGAAAAUUAUUAAAAUACCCUUAACCUUAAAACUUAGAAUUCAUGAUAUAUAAGGGUAUUUUUGUCUACUGAAACCCGGUACACAUUGUUAA
rnacentral:lncRNA from 1 species